GAUGAACGCUGGCGGCGUGCCUAAUACAUGCAAGUCGAGCGAAUGGAUUAAGAGCUUGCUCUUAUGAAGUUAGCGGCGGACGGGUGAGUAACACGUGGGUAACCUGCCCAUAAGACUGGGAUAACUCCGGGAAACCGGGGCCAAUACCGGAUAACAUUUUGAACCGCAUGGUUCGAAAUUGAAAGGCGGCUUCGGCUGUCACUUAUGGAUGGACCCGGGUCGCAUUAGCUAGUUGGUGAGGUAACGGCUAACCAAGGCAACGAUGCGUAGCCGACCUGAGAGGGGGAUCGGCCACACUGGGACUGAGACACGGCACAGACUCCUACGGGAGGCAGCAGUAGGGAAUCUUCCGCAAUGGACGAAAGUCUGACGGAGCAACGCCGCGUGAGUGAUGAAGGCUUUCGGGUCGUAAAACUCUGUUGUUAGGGAAGAACAAGUGCUAGUUGAAUAAGCUGGCACCUUGACGGUACCUAACCAGAAAGCCACGGCUAACUACGUGCCAGCCGCCGCCGUAA
rnacentral:rRNA from 1 species